GCCACCUUAGCUCAGUUGGUAGAGCGCGCGCCUUGUAAGCGUGAGGCCAGCGGUUCGACUCCGUUAGGUGGCA
rfam:Absidia repens strain NRRL 1336 BCR42scaffold_2, whole genome shotgun sequence.